rnacentral:lncRNA from 1 species
UGUAUUUGUUACAUAUCGAUCUGGGCCUGGCACCCGGAAGCAGAAAUCACACCAGGCGCCGUCGUACGCCUGACCAACGAUGCUUCAUAACUUGCUUUGGAACCGAACGCAAAUAUGUUCGGUUUUCAUCAAAACAGCAGGCGUGUUCGGUCACAAGUGGACUUCAAAUUCAUGCCUGCACCCUCGGCCUACCGGCGAGAAGCUGACAUGGCGACGGUCCAGGAGCAAUCGAGGAGCUUACAGGCACAGUUCUUUAUCUUUGACAGUCGUGUCAGAAAGCUUGGAGAUGCUGUCUUCCGGUAUUGAGGUUAACCCAUGACUGUUCAUGCUGGCUUGUUGAACACGCUCUGCUUAACUUUGAUGGCAUGCCGUAUAAAUUUGCUCGGGUGCAUACUGCUGCUACGCCGUCCGUUGCAUAGCUACCAAAGCCGCUCCUGCGCAGGGAAGCGAGAAGGUGAUCAAGCGUUAUGCUAUAGAGGUGUGAUGGGAAGAGAGGAGGAUGACAAAGGCUGUGUAAACGUUGCCCACUUGCGUAUUCCCCUGGCGGCGUCGUAGCGACGAACUAAACAUGUUCGCGAGAUAUCUUCCCUGCGAACAUGUUACUGGAAUUUACAUGCUUUGUGGGCCUGAUGGGCCUGUACGUCAUUCUAUUGUGCGCACAAGUUGUUAUAUGGCGCGAAGAAUGCGAUUACAACAAAUGUCAUAUGCUGAGUCUGUGAUCUUUCAAACAUUAGCCUGUAUCCACAGAUUGGUGUUUCUUUGCAACCCAAUCCAUCGCUUUCGGGCGCAGCAAAGCCUCAAUACUAUAAAUAAAAGACUUUAAUAUGCCGGUCAUUGUUCUUAAGGUAGCUAAUCCCGUCGAGACGGA